rnacentral:rRNA from 1 species
AUUGAACGCUGGCGGCAUGCUUUACACAUGCAAGUCGGACGGCAGCACAGAGAAGCUUGCUUCUUGGGUGGCGAGUGGCGAACGGGUGAGUAAUAUAUCGGAACGUACCGAGUAAUGGGGGAUAACUAAUCGAAAGAUUAGCUAAUACCGCAUAUUCUCUGAGGAGGAAAGCAGGGGACCUUCGGGCCUUGCGUUAUUCGAGCGGCCGAUAUCUGAUUAGCUAGUUGGUGGGGUAAAGGCCUACCAAGGCGACGAUCAGUAGCGGGUCUGAGAGGAUGAUCCGCCACACUGGGACUGAGACACGGCCCAGACUCCUACGGGAGGCAGCAGUGGGGAAUUUUGGACAAUGGGCGCAAGCCUGAUCCAGCCAUGCCGCGUGUCUGAAGAAGGCCUUCGGGUUGCAAAGGACUUUUGUCAGGGAAGAAAAGGCUGUUGCUAAUACCGACAGCUGAUGACGGUACCUGAAGAAUAAGCACCGGCUAACUACGUG